CGAGACGAACGCUGGCGGCGUGCCUAACACAUGCAAGUCGAGCGAAUGAAGUUCCUUCGGGAACGGAUUUAGCGGCGGACGGGUGAGUAACACGUGGGCAACCUACCUCAUAGAGGGGAAUAGCCUUCCGAAAGGGAGAUUAAUACCGCAUAAGAUUGUAGUACCGCAUGGUACAGCAAUUAAAGGAGCAAUCCGCUAUGAGAUGGGCCCGCGGCGCAUUAGCUAGUUGGUGAGGUAACGGCUCACCAAGGCGACGAUGCGUAGCCGACCUGAGAGGGUGAUCGGCCACAUUGGGACUGAGACACGGCCCAGACUCCUACGGGAGGCAGCAGUGGGGAAUAUUGCACAAUGGGGAAACCCUGAUGCAGCAACGCCGCGUGAGUGAUGACGGCCUUCGGGUUGUAAAGCUCUGUCUUCAGGGACGAUAAUGACGGUACCUGAGGAGGAAGCCACGGCUAACUACGUG
rnacentral:rRNA from 1 species